AGCGAACGCUGGCGGCAGGCCUAACACAUGCAAGUCGAACGGAUCCUUCGGGAUUAGUGGCGGACGGGUGAGUAACACGUGGGAACGUGCCCUUUGGUUCGGAACAACUCAGGGAAACUUGAGCUAAUACCGGAUGUGCCCUUCGGGGGAAAGAUUUAUCGCCAUUGGAGCGGCCCGCGUCUGAUUAGCUAGUUGGUGAGGUAAAGGCUCACCAAGGCGACGAUCAGUAGCUGGUCUGAGAGGAUGAUCAGCCACAUUGGGACUGAGACACGGCCCAAACUCCUACGGGAGGCAGCAGUGGGGAAUCUUGCGCAAUGGGCGAAAGCCUGACGCAGCCAUGCCGCGUGAAUGGAUGAAGGUCUUAGGAUUGUAAAAUUCUUUCACCGGGGACGAUAAUGACGGUACCCGGAGAAGAAGCCCCGGCUAACCUUCGUGCCAGCAGCCGCGGUAA
rnacentral:rRNA from 1 species